GUAGGUGAACCUGCGGAAGGAUCAUUAGAAAAUUUUUCUAAAUCAACACUUGUGAACCAUUCUUGUCUUUCCCGUGAAGAAGCCUUUUCUGAUGAAUAGUCAGAACUGGUGGGCCGCACGGGUUGAUAAACUCUUAUUGUUUGACUGAAACUGGUGAAGCUCGGAAAACUUUUCCUUAGGGAAAUUUAGACCGGGUGGAUCAAACUUUUUAAUAAAACAAAACUUUCAACAACGGAUCUCUUGGCUCUC
rnacentral:misc_RNA from 1 species